AAAGGUCCUUUGCCAGGUUUCAACACAAGGAUUAAAGGAAAUACAACUUAGCAUGAUUCUUCAUUAUGCCUUCUGAUUGACUUUAAUUAUACUACCAAAUUGGAAAGAAGUUAUUCCUUAAACUGAGAAAACAUCAAUAUGGUCCUCAAUGGGUUGGAUAAUGCUUACCCACAUUGGAGAAGGCAAUCUACUUUACUAAGCUAAUUCAAAUACUAAUCUCAUCCAGAAAUAGUGCCUCACUGAUAAACCCAGAAAUGUUUAAUCAAA